AACGCACGAGACCUGCGGACCUGCGGAGGGAUCAUUAAUGAGUUGCAAAACUCCCUAAACCAUUGUGAACCUACCUGUACCGUUCCUUCGGCGGGCGGCGUCAAGCCCUAACCCGUCUCCCUUUACGGGGGAUGGACCCGCCGGAGGCUCCUAAACUCUUAACUUUUGUUGGCAUCUCUGAGUAAAUCAAAAUAAGUCAAAACUUUCAGCAAUGGAUCUCU
rnacentral:misc_RNA from 1 species